rnacentral:rRNA from 1 species
UGGGGAAUUUUGGACAAUGGGGGCAACCCUGAUCCAGCGAUGCCGCGUGAGUGAAGAAGGCCUUCGGGUUGUAAAGCUCUUUUGUUGGGGAAGAAAAGGUAGCUGCUAAUAUCGGCUAUUGCUGACGGUACCCAAAGAAUAAGCACCGGCUAACUACGUGCCAGCAGCCGCGGUAAUACGUAGGGUGCAAGCGUUAAUCGGAAUUACUGGGCGUAAAGGGUGCGCAGGCGGUUAUGUAAGUCUGACGUGAAAUCCCUGGGCUUAACCCGGGAAUGGCGUUGGAGACUGCAUAGCUAGAGUGUGUCAGAGGGGGGUAGAAUUCCACGUGUAGCAGUGAAAUGCGUAGAGAUGUGGAGGAACACCGAUGGCGAAGGCAGCCCCCUGGGAUAACACUGACGCUCAGGCACGAAAGCGUGGGGAGCAAACAGGAUUAGAUACCCCCGUAGUCC